rnacentral:rRNA from 1 species
ACAGUGGAGAGUCUGAAGGAGCAAUGCGCCUUGAGUGAAGAGGGGUUUCGGGUGUUAAAACUCUGUUGUUAAAGAAAAACACCUUUGAGAGUAACUGUUCAAGGGUUGACGGUAUUUAACCAGAAAGCCACGGCUAACUAC